GCCAACAAUCACGGCCAGUCUUUCCAACGGACGCAGAGACUUUUUAAAAAGCUUUUUUGAAAUUAUUGAAACACUUGCGAUCUUUGUUUCUUUCUGAAUGUUCUCAAAGAUCCGAUCGCCGCUUGUAAGCAGGCAAAAUCAAAAAAACAGGAAAAUCGAAAUCAAAAACAGGAGCAUAUUGAUACAAGCAGCAUUCGGUCCGGACACAUUAACCUUUGGAAGAGCGCCCUCCUGCCGGAGCGCCCCCUUUGUCUCUUUCGGGGUGUAGGAGCAGCGCCUUACUGAAAGGCCAGGCGGAAUGCGGCUUUGGCAGCUACUGAAGCAAAAACUUGGGUGUGGGAGGAGUUUGGUGAGGCCAUGGAGAAGGACCAAGAAAAGAUUCUGGCAAACCGUCAGGCGAACUCAAGAGGGGGGAAGCAGGGCUUUACCCAUGCUAAUUACGGCAGGGAUGGAGAACUGACGACCUUAAAUGGGGAUAUAGUCAGGUGGUAGUAGAAGGAUUCUGAAGACCUUCUGAAUCCCUCUGAUACACCUUCCAUGGAGGAAGUAUAGCUGGAAGACUGAAAGGAAGACUUACCCAUCACUAGGACCAAGGUCAUUGGAGUAGUCAAAAAAAAACUCUUCGGUGGUAAGGCUCCGGGGGAUAGAUGAGUUUCACCCUGAAUUCUUAAAACCUCUUGAUGCUGUUGGGCUGCCUUGGUUGACACGCCUCUUCAGCAUUGCGUGGAAGUCGGGGAUAGUGCCUUUGGAUUGGCAGACCAGAGGAUGGGUUCCAACUUUAGGGGGAUUACACUCCUCAGCCUCCCUGAUAGAACCUUGGAUCCAGGAUGAUUAACGCGGAUUAUAUCCUGGUCAUAGAAUGCUGGACCAGCUGGUGGGGAAUGAGUUGAUCUUGGGGUCUUGUUUACGAGUGAGGGAAGAAGAGAGUGCGAGAUCGACAGGCAGACUGGCGCAGCGUAAGCAGUAAUGCAGACGCUGCACCAUUCGGUCAUGAUAAAGAUGGAGCUGAGUCACAAGGCAAAGCUUUUGAGUUUCCAGUUGAUUUACGCUCCUACCCUCAUCUAUGGUCACAAGCUUUGCAUAGUUCCCUUCGCAGAGUGUCUGGGCUCGGCCUUAGAGAGGGUGAGGAGCUCAGACAAUCAGGAGGGGCUCAAAGUAGAGCCACUGCUCCUCCGCAUCGAAAGGAGCCAGUCGAGGUGGUUCGGGUAUCUAUCUAGGAUGCCUCUUGAAUGGCUCACUAGGGAGGUGUUUGGGGCUUGUCCAACCAGGAGGAGGCCCUGGGGCAGACCCAGGACACACUGGAGAGAUCAUAUCUCUUGGCUGGUCUGAGAACACCUUGGUAUCCCCUGGAGAAGCUGGCUAGGGAGAGGGAGGUCUGGGCAUCCCUAAUUAGAUUGCUGCCCAGUGACACAUGAUGGAUGGGUGGAUGGAUGGAUAGAUUUAUUUCUUUCCACACUACCAUACAGGCAAGACUUAUUCUAAACCCAAUGACUAACGAUAAAUUAACUAACAACACUGAUUGGUGCACUUCACUCAGACAAUGAACUCUGUAACUCUGUAAAAAAGUGACUGUUUCCCUCUCAUUGGCUCAAGUCUACUUGUUCAUAAACUGAACGUCUAAUGUU